AGAAACUCGUCCUCCAGGUUUAAAUAAAAACAGAGCUUUCGUGAUUUCUAUGUUAUUGUUUUCUUUGUUGUGAAUGUUGUUCUCUGUUUUGCAGACGGCUGGACACAAGGAUCUUCUUGAAGAUGAUCCUUACCUGAAACAGAGACUGAGACUUCGUAACUCUUACAUCACAACUCUCAAUGUCUGUCAAGCUUACACUUUGAAGAGGAUCCGUGACCCGAGUUACAAUGUGACGCUACGUUACGUCCUCACAUCUCUAAGGAGAUUGCGGAAUCGAGCAAAGAACUCAUCGAGCUUAACCCGACUAGCGAGUACGCGCCUGGACUCGAAGAUACACUCAUCUUGACCAUGAAGGGUGUCGCUGCUGGUCUACAGAACACCGGUAGAGUAAAAACAGAGAUGAGUCUCCACUCUCCUUUUUAUAUUCCCUCUAAUAAUUGGAAAAUAAAAAAAAAUUGCGGUUGGAUUUCUUGAUUUGUUUUAUGUAAUCCACCGUCAAAGUGUCGAUCUUUGUGUACUAAUAACUCUUACGAGAUCAUGAACACAUGCUCUGUUUUUCUCGGAUGCAACAAAACAGAGCGGGAGAGAAUCUUCUUGUUUGUUUCUCUUACCAAGCGGUUUGAUUCAAAUAAUAAAUAAUAAACCAUUUUGGUUUAGUUUUGCCUCGUAGUGCUUUUGUUUGGUUCGGUUUGACUGUUUCUUUUUUUUAUUUUAUUGUUUCGAUUACGGUUCUUUGUCCUUUGUCCUUUGUCGUCUACUCAACUUUCACACAUGUCGACUCCCGAAAACGGCAGACAUGUUUGCUAAAAGAGGCCGUUGAAAAAGGAAAGUGGUGCAAAGAAAACGACACGGUGUUUAGGUCUCGUCUAUACUCUAUAGACACGCCUUGCAUUUUUUCGAUUCGGUAACGCCCCAAUUGCUGUAUUUAUUGCCGGGAAUUUAUAGCGUACAUGUACGGUAUACCUGUUUUUUACUAAGACGUACUUUUAUGCGUAAUAAGAGUACAUUUUUAGUUUAACUCUCAUAGGUCAAAAAGUUCACACUCCAAAAAGUCGUUGGCUGACAGUCACGCGCCUCUCAACUGAUUUUAAAGUAAGUAAAAGAUAUUCAGAAAUAUUUUUGCUAAAAGUUGAGGAAGGCCAAAGAAAAUGAUUAUCGACAAAAGGAAAAAUACUAGUAUAAAAUUCAACGAAUAAAUAGGUGUCAAUAGACCACGAGUACAGGGCACCGACUACAACCGCGGCAGUAUAGCACCGGCCAAACGACCGCAAAGUUCAUAACUUUUCUUCAUUUUCAGUUGUUCAAAAAAAAAGAGAAAACUUCAUUUGAUAACUUUUUUUAAGUUUAUUUUUACAAAAAUAGUAUUCAAAAAGAAAAAAUGAUCGGAAUAGAUUUUAUUAAAAUUUAAAUAUGCAUUCAUAUCUUUAAGAUUAACUAAUAUUGAUUUAGGAUUUAGAGUUAAUAGUUAAAGUUUUGUAGAUGAAUUUCAAAUUAAAAAAAAAUUAAAAUUUUCAAAAGAAAAAAAAUAUUUUGAUCAUUUUAUUUUUGAAAGCUAUUUUUAUGACAAAAACUUAAAAAUAGUUAUUCGAGAGAAUUGUCAAAAAAAAAAAAGUUAUAUUUAUUUAUGAGCGUUAUUUAUGAGCGUUAUUAUUUUCAUUUUGCAAUAAGUUAUUAGAUUUUAUCUGCUUCUCAAUCCCUUAAAGAGUGGCAACUUACAUAAUUAACAACAGUCGCUUGUGGCACAAACAUAAUCAGUCUCUAAUUAAUCCGUUUCUCCUUUUUCUGUACAGUAACGACUAAAGUAUUAUAACAAACCCAACUUUUAUAUCAAUCACAUUUCUCCCUCUCUUUAAUAGAAAGUUAAUAAUAACAGUCAAAUAUACUAUUUAAUUACAAAAGUGAGAUUAUAUACAAAAUUCUAGUAUUUUUAGAUGGAGUUAUUCAUGAAUUUGGUUAGAAUGUACGAAAAUAAAAUGCAAUAGUAGAAAAUGAAUAAAAAUUAUGUUAUUUAUUGAUGAAAAUGUUGUGAAAAAGAAGAGAACUAAAAUGACAAGAUGGUUCACUUUCUUUAACUUUAAAAGGAAAAAAAAAUGAAGGAUCAGAAUAGUCCUCUUUUGCCUGUUUCAGUAAAGCCCCUUUCUUCAGUCACAUACAAACUUCUCUUAUGUACACAAAGUAAUCUCCAACCAACCAGUAGCAUCAUCUCUCAAUACCUAAACAAGUGAAACUAGAAGAAGGAGCCUAUGCAGAAAAAUUUGAAUGGAAAGAAGGGAAGAGAGACAGAUCACAGGGCAAUAAAGAGGGGGGGGGGAAUGAAUGAACAAAUCAUAAAGAGCUGACACUCUACACUAAUGAGGUUCCCUGGUUAUGAAUCAUCUUCUUAAGAAGUUAAGUGGGAUUAUUGGAGAAGUUUCACAAGGGUAAUGAGGAGUCCUAGAAGAGUGAUUCUUUCUAGUAUUAACCGCUAUAGUGCCUCACAGAGUACUCCAAUACUUCUUUGCUUGGACAGACAAUCUCCUUUACUCGAGUACCGUUUUUGUAUAUCUUCACUGUUGGUACAACCCUCACGUUCUCUGCAUUACCUAUCGAAGGACAUUUAUCGAUGUCCACCUAACCCAAAAAAGAUAGGUUUAGAGACAAUAGCUUCCUAAGUUAAAUUAUUAUAAAAUACUCCAUCUGUUCCUGAAAGUAAGAUUUUCUAUAGUAUGCACGCUUAUUAAAAAUUUAAUAAAUGUUUAUAAUUUAAUUUAUUUUUUACUUUCUUAUACACUUUCCAAUAAUUUUCCACCAAUAAAAUUUAAUCAAUUCAAAUAUUCUCAAUUAAUGUUCCUCAAAAGUAUAAAAAAAUACCUUAACAAUAUAGAAAAUCUAUCUUUGUGGAACGUUAUAUACCAAACCAUAUCCAAAUCCUACGGUUUUUAUAAAAUUAUAUCCAUUCGGUUUAUAUGGUAUAUACCAAAACCAAACCAUAUUGUCUAUUUCGGUUCGGUUCGGUUCAGUACGGUUCGGUUUUACCAUAUUGAACAGCCCUAACGGCUGCUGACUAGAUUUAGAAAAGGCACAAAAUAUAUAUAGUUGUGUCCCAAGCACUAGUGGACCUCAAAAAUGAUUAAAGCCCAACUGAUUCAAAGCAUUAUUCAACACGUUUGGUGAAAAACUCAGAGCCAACUUCGGAGAAACUAAGAAACUCGUCCUCCAGGUUUAAAUAAAAACAGAGCUUUCGUGAUUUCUAUGUUAUUGUUUUCUUUGUUGUGAAUGUUGUUCUCUGUUUUGCAGACGGCUGGACACAAGGAUCUUCUUGAAGAUGAUCCUUACCUGAAACAGAGACUGAGACUUCGUAACUCUUACAUCACAACUCUCAAUGUCUGUCAAGCUUACACUUUGAAGAGGAUCCGUGACCCGAGUUACAAUGUGACGCUACGU
rnacentral:lncRNA from 1 species